ACUCCUACGGGAGGCAGCAGUGGGGAAUAUUGCACAAUGGGGGAAACCCUGAUGCAGCCAUGCCGCGUGUGUGAAGAAGGCCUUCGGUUGUAAAGCACUUUCAGUAGGGAGGAAGGUAGUGUAAGUUAACACCUGCAUUAUUUGACGUUACCUACAGAAGAAGCACCGGCUAACUCCGUGCCAGCAGCCGCGGUAAUACGGAGGGUGCGAGCGUUAAUCGGAAUUACUGGGCGUAAAGCGCAUGCAGGCGGCCUGUUAAGUCAGAUGUGAAAGCCCGGGGUCUUAACCUCGGAAUUGCAUUUGAAACUGGCAGGCUAGAGUCUUGUAGAGGGGUUAGAAUUUCAGGUGUAGCGGUGAAAUGCGUAGAGAUCUGAAGGAAUACCAGUGGCGAACGGCGGCCCCCUGGACAAAGACUGACGCUCAGAUGCGAAAGCGUGGGAGCAAACAGGAUUACGAUACCCCGUGGUAGACUGUCA
rnacentral:rRNA from 1 species